ACUGACUUCGCUCGGUUGGUAGAACGUCGGAGUACAAAUCCGGAGAGCGCGCGUUCAAAUCUCGCCGGCAGCC
rnacentral:tRNA from 1 species